rnacentral:miRNA from 14 species
AGACUGGUUAAUGAGCAUAAUGCAUUGUAAAACCUUCAAAAGGAAAGGAGAAUGUGGACCAUUUUUUUGUGUAUGUGUGUUUGGCAGUUUUAAGUGAUUAGUUUUUAAAAUCAGU